rnacentral:rRNA from 1 species
GACGAACGCUGGCGGCGUGCUUAACACAUGCAAGUCGAACGGAAAGGCCCUGCUUGCAGGGUACUCGAGUGGCGAACGGGUGAGUAACACGUGGGUGAUCUGCCCUGCACUUCGGGAUAAGCCUGGGAAACUGGGUCUAAUACCGGAUAGGAGCCAUUUUUAGUGUGAUGGUUGGAAAGUUUUUUCGGUGUAGGAUGAGCUCGCGGCCUAUCAGCUUGUUGGUGGGGUAAUGGCCUACCAAGGCGGCGACGGGGAGCCGGCCUGAGAGGGUGGACGGCCACAGUGGGACUGAGAUACGGCCCAGACUCCUACGGGAGGCAGAAGUGGGGAAUAUUGCACAAGGGGCGCAAGCCUGAUGCAGCGACGCCGCGGGGGGGAUGACGGCCUUCGGGUUGGAAACUCCUUUCGCUAGGGACGAAGCUUUUUGUGACGGUACCUAGAUAAGAAGCACCGGCUAACUACGUG